AUUGAACGCUGGCGGCAGGCCUAACACAUGCAAGUCGAACGGUAACAGGAAGCAGCUUGCUGCUUUGCUGACGAGUGGCGGACGGGUGAGUAAUGUCUGGGAAACUGCCUGAUGGAGGGGGAUAACUACUGGAAACGGUAGCUAAUACCGCAUAACGUCGCAAGACCAAAGAGGGGGACCUUCGGGCCUCUUGCCAUCGGAUGUGCCCAGAUGGGAUUAGCUAGUAGGUGGGGUAACGGCUCACCUAGGCGACGAUCCAUAGCUGGUCUGAGAGGAUGACCAGCCACACUGGAACUGAGACACGGUCCAGACUCCUACGGGAGGCAGCAGUGGGGAAUAUUGCACAAUGGGCGCAAGCCUGAUGCAGCCAUGCCGCGUGUAUGAAGAAGGCCUUCGGGUUGUAAAGUACUUUCAGCGGGGAGGAAGGGAGUAAAGUUAAUACCUUUGCUCAUUGACGUUACCCGCAGAAGAAGCACCGGCUAACUCCGUG
rnacentral:rRNA from 1 species